UGACGGUACCCUUUCGAAUAAGAGGUUGCUAACUCUGUGCCAGCAGCAGCGGUAAUACAGAGACCUCGAGCGUUAUCCGGAUUUACUGGGCGUAAAGCGUCUGUAGGGGGGUUUUGUUAAGUNGUCCCAAGGUAAAAAUCGUUAAGAGCUCAACUUUAAGUUCGCUUGGAAAACUAAUAAACUGGAGUCCAGCAGAGGUGCAUGGACUUGCGGUGUAGGAGUGAAAUCCGUUGAUAUCGCAAGGAACACCAAAGGCGAAGGCAUUGCACUGGGCUGGUACUGACCCUGAGAGACGAAAGCGUGGGGAGCAAAACGGAUUAGAUACCCGUGUAGUCCACGCCGUAAACGAUGGAUACUAGAUGUUCGGGGAUUCGACCCCCUGGGUGUCACAGCUAACGCGUUAAGUAUCCCGCCUGGGAAGUACGGCCGCAAGGCUAAAACUCAAAGGAAUAGACGGGGAUCCGCACAAGCGGUGGAGCGUCUGGUUUAAUUUGAUAGUAAGCAAUGGACCUCACCAAGGUUUGACAUCCUAUGACAACCCUGGAAACAGGGCUUCCUUCGGGCAUAGUGACAGGUGCUGCAUGGUCGUCGUCGGUUCGUGCCGUGAGGUGUUCCGUUAAGUCGGGAAACGAACGAAACCCUCGUCGCAUGUUACAAAUUUCAUGCGAGACUGCCCGGGUCAACCGGGAGGAAGGCGGGGAUGACGUCAGAUCAGCAUGGCCCUUAUACCUUGGGCUACACAGGCGCUACAAUGGCCGGUACAAAGGGUUGCAAAACCGCGAGGUGAAGCUAAUCCCAUAAAGCCGGUCCAAGUUCGGAUUGGAGGCUGCAACUCGCCUCCAUGAAGUUGGAAUCGCUAGUAAUCGUGGAUCAGCCAUACCACGGUGAAUACGUUCCCGGAUCUUGUACUCACCGCCCGUCACACCAAGAGAGUUGGUAGCUCCUGAAGCGUCGCAUUACGGCACCACGGAGAGAUCAGCGAUAGGGGUG
rnacentral:rRNA from 1 species